rnacentral:tRNA from 1 species
GCUUGACAGCUCAGUUGGUAAAGCACGAGACUCUCAAUCUCAGGGUCGUCAGUUCAAGUCCCAUGUUGUGCA